AUUGAACGCUGGCGGCAGGCCUAACACAUGCAAGUCGAGCGAGCGGCGCGCGGGUGAGUAAUGUAUGGAGACUGCCAGAGAGGGGGGGAUAACCACUGAAAGCGGUCGAUAAUACCGCAUACUCUGGGGUAACCCAUAUGGGAUUAGCUAGUAGGUGGGGGAAAGGCUCACCUGGGCGACGAUCUCUAGCUGGUCUGAGAGGAUGAUCAGCCACACUGGGACUGAGACACGGCCCAGACUCCUACGGAGGCAGCAGUGGGGAAUAUUGCACAAUGGGCGCAAGCCUGAUGCAGCCAUGCCGCGUGUAUGAAGAAGGCCUUAGGGUUGUAAAGUACUUUCAGCGGGGAGGCGUUACCCGCAGAAGAAGCACCGGCUAACUCCGUGCCAGCAGCCGCGGUAAUAC
rnacentral:rRNA from 1 species